rnacentral:miRNA from 1 species
UGAGCUGGCUGCAUGUUGUUCCCUUGGGGAUGAAGGUGACCCUCAGGGAACAGCAACAGGGCUGC